AAUGAACGCUGGCGGCAUGCCUUACACAUGCAAGUCGAACGGCAGCAUGACCUAGCUUGCUAGGUUGAUGGCGAGUGGCGAACGGGUGAGUAAUGCAUCGGAACGUGCCUUUUAGUGGGGGAUAACGUAGCGAAAGUUACGCUAAUACCGCAUAUUCUCUGAGGAGGAAAGCAGGGGGCCUUCGGGCCUUGCGCUAGAAGAGCGGCCGAUGUCGGAUUAGCUAGUUGGUGAGGUAAAGGCUCACCAAGGCAACGAUCCGUAGCGGGUCUGAGAGGAUGAUACGCCACACUGGGACUGAGACACGGCCCAGACUCCUACGGGAGGCAGCAGUGGGGAAUUUUGGACAAUGGGCGCAAGCCUGAUCCAGCCAUGCCGCGUGAGUGAAGAAGGCCUUCGGGUUGUAAAGCUCUUUCGGCUGGGAAGAAAUCGCACUCUCUAAUACAGGGUGUGGAUGACGGUACCAGCAGAAGAAGCACCGGCUAACUACGUG
rnacentral:rRNA from 1 species